rnacentral:lncRNA from 1 species
AAAACUCAGAGAGAAGAGUUGUAGGAGCUGAAUGUGUCCCCUUCUCUGCGUCCUGCAUGUGCCUCUUCCUCUCUGAUUCAGCACUGACAAAGUGGAAAACUUGUUCACUGGGACAGGCCAAUCCAUUCAAUAAAUUCAGGCAUAGCCUCCCUCAGCAGUGAGGUCUUCUCUGGCUUUUAUCACCCAGAUUACGCCAGUGCGGUGCUG